GCUAUCGUGGUGUAGUGGUCAGCACGCUCGGCGCAUAUUCAAGAGAUCCGCGGUUCGAGUCCCGACGAAGGCA
rfam:Stegodyphus mimosarum contig25280, whole genome shotgun sequence.